rnacentral:rRNA from 1 species
AGGACGAACGCUGGCGGCGUGCUUAACACAUGCAAGUCGAGCGGUAAGGCCUUUCGGGGUACACGAGCGGCGAACGGGUGAGUAACACGUGGGUGAUCUGCCCUGCACUCUGGGAUAAGCCUGGGAAACUGGGUCUAAUACCGGAUAUGACCUGCUCUCGCAGUGGGGGGUGGGUGGAAAGAUUUAUCGGUGCAGGAUGGGCCCGCGGCCUAUCAGCUUGUUGGGUGGGUAAUGGCCUACCAAGGCGACGACGGGUAGCCGACCUGAGAGGGUGACCGGCCACACUGGGACUGAGACACGGCCCAGACUCCUACGGGAGGCAGCGAGUGGGGAAUA